CUUUUUGAUUUUAAUUUAAAGUUUAACCUGCCCAUUGAAAAUUUUUAAAAGGCUGCGGUAUUUUGACUGUACAAAGGUAGCAUAAUCAUUAGUUUUUUAAUUGAAAACUUGUWUGAAUGGUUGAAUGAGAAAUUAACUUUUUUAAAAAAAUAAUUGAAUUUUACUUUUUAAUUAAAAGGUUAAAAUAAAUUUAAAAGACGAGAAGACCCUAUAGAGUUUUAUAAUUUUUAUUUAAUAUUUAAAAAGAUUAAUUAAAAUUUUAUAAAAGAAAAUAUUUUGUUGGGGUGAUAAUAAAAUUUAAAUAACUUUUAUUUUUUUUUACAUUAAUAUAUGAAUUUAUGAUCCAUUAUUGAUGAUUAGAAAUUUAAAUUACCUUAGGGAUAACAGCGUAAUUUUUUUUUAAAGUUCAUAUUAAUAAAAAAUUUUGCGACCUCGAUGUUGGAUUAAGAUUUAAUUUUAGGUGCAGCAGUUUAAAUUUUAAGUCUGUUCGACUUUUAAAUUCUU
rnacentral:rRNA from 1 species